UCUAACUUUCUGUACUGUGAGCAUAAUUAAAGCAAAUGGAGGAGGAUAAAAUAAUUAUUUAGCAACUGGAAUAUUAGGCCCUGAAUAAUAAAAGAAAUCAACAUAAACUUCAUUCUCACAGGUACAUGCACAUCAAAGUUCAAACCAGGGGGUGGUUAAGGAUCCAUAAGCUCAUUACACUCAUUGUGGAAUUCUGCAGGCUAAUUCUCAAAUAGCUGCCAUGGCAGAGACCAUAGCUUAUAAUGUCAUAGUCUCUGUUGCCAAGGUAACAACACAGCCAGGAACAGAGGCUGACAUUUGGAAACACACAUGUGAUUUCAUUAUUUACAAGUUAUAGAGAGGAGAGCAGAGCCACCGUGGUGGCUUAAAAACAUCUGUUCUAAUGCAGCCUGCUUACGUUUGAAAAAUAGUGCAUUAUCAAAGGUGAAGAAGCGUAAGGAAAGUCACCCCAUACUUGUUUGAGCUCGAGUUCUACCCCUCUGUGCCAUUAGAGAUGAUUUCGACUAAAAGUGAACUUGGUUUUCAAGGGUGUUUGGAAGUCACCAAAAUGCUAUGGAGAGCAGUGAGGAAGCACUCUGGAUUUAUAAUUCUACUUUUGCCACCAAGUUACUUUGAAGUGAGAAUAUUCUGAACAACACAGACUUUUAGAGAGAAACCAGAAAGUACAAGUAACCCAGAAGCACGGUGUGUAACAUCAGUCCUAUUUAUUCAUCCAUGCAUUCUUUCACUAAAUAAAUAUUAAUAGCACAUCUA